rnacentral:rRNA from 1 species
CCUACGGGUGGCUGCAGUAGGGAAUAUUGCGCAAUGGAGGAAACUCUGACGCAGCGACGCCGCGUGGGUGACGAAGGCUUUCGGGUCGUAAAGCCCUGUCGGAAGGGAAGAAAAACGGUAUGGCUAACAUCCAUACCGCUUGACGGUACCUUCAAAGGAAGCACCGGCUAACUACGUGCCAGCAGCCGCGGUAAUACGUAGGGUGCAAGCGUUGUUCGGAAUCAUUGGGCGUAAAGCGCGUGUAGGCGGUUUACUAAGUCGAUUGUGAAAUCCCU